rnacentral:rRNA from 1 species
CGGGAAAAGCUCAAAUUUAAAAUCUGGUAGUCUUUGGCUGCCCGAGUUGUAAUCUAGAGAAGUGUUACCCGCGCUGGACCGUGUACAAGUCUCCUGGAAUGGAGCGUCAUAGAGGGUGAGAAUCCCGUCUUUGACACGGACUCCCAGUGCUUUUGUGGUGCGCUCUCAAC